CUCGAUACAAAAUUAUUAGCAAUCGAGCAUAUUCUUCGUAAUUUUUCCCUCGAUCGCGACUUGAAUCUCGUUUCUCUUGAUCUAUAAUGCCAACUUAAUCUUAUUUAAUACAUACAUUCAUCAAAAUAGCAUUUAAUACGAACUUUGGAAAAAUUACAUUUUUGCCCCUAAACUUUUGCAUAAUUGUACUUUUGCCCCUAGGCUCGCGAAUUAAAC
rnacentral:lncRNA from 1 species